CCAUGGCCUCACCAUCCUGAACACACUGGGUCUCAUCUGAUCUCAGAAGCAGAGUUAGGCUAGGUUAGUACUUGGAAGAGAGAAUGAAUGUGAGAAUGAAUGCAUAACGGU
ensembl:rRNA 5S_rRNA 5S ribosomal RNA